rnacentral:rRNA from 1 species
CUGCCCAUUGAUGAAAUUUAAAGGCUGCAGUAAACUGACUGCACAAAGGUAGCAUAAUCAAUAGUUUCUUAAUUGGAAGCUUGUAUGAAGGAUUGAACGAGAUAACUACUUUCUAAAAAUAAUUGUAUGAUGAAUUUAAUCUUUAGAUUAAAAAGUCUAAAUAAUAUUAAUAGACGAUAAGACCCUAUAGAAUUUUAUAAUUAUAUUGAUUUGAUUAUGAGAUAAACUUUGAUUAAAUAAGUAUUAUUAUUUUGUUGGGGAGAUAUUAAGAUUAAAAUAACUCUUAAUUUUUAUAAUCAAUAAUUUUUGAUAAAAGAUGAUCCUGUAUUACAGAAUUAAGAACAAAUUACCUUAGGGAUAACAGCGUAAUUCUUUUUGAAAGUUCAUAUUAAUAAAAGAGGUUGCGACCUCGAUGUUGAAUUAAGAUAAAUUUAAGGUGUAGGAGCUUAUAUAUU